rnacentral:rRNA from 1 species
AUUGAACGCUGGCGGAAUGCUUUACACAUGCAAGUCGAACGGUAGAGGGGGCAACCCCUUGAGAGUGGCGAACGGGUGAGUAAUAUAUCGGAACGUGCCCAGUCGUGGGGAUAACGCAGCGAAAGUUGCGCUAAUACCGCAUACGAUCUACGGAUGAAAGUGGGGGAUCGCAAGACCUCAUGCUCAUGGAGCGGCCGAUAUCUGAUUAGCUAGUUGGUGGGGUAAAGGCCUACCAAGGCUUCGAUCAGUAGCUGGUCUGAGAGGACGACCAGCCACACUGGAACUGAGACACGGUCCAGACUCCUACGGGAGGCAGCAGUGGGGAAUUUUGGACAAUGGGCGCAAGCCUGAUCCAGCAAUGCCGCGUGCAGGAUGAAGGCCUCGGUUGUAAACG